rnacentral:lncRNA from 1 species
UUACAUCUUAUUGUGUCGCCUAUCUGUAUAGUUACUCGGAUCUUACAUUUUUGUAUUUUUGUCAAUGCAGGUGUGUUCUUCCUACUAUAAAGCAACAUGGAUUUCUUUAAAUUAAAUUGUGCAUAUUGUGGAAAAUAAAUCUUGUGUGUCUAUAGUCAUGUUCAUGUAUGUUCUGAACUGAGACAAAUAUUCUUCGUUGUCUAUGCGUUUUCCUUCUCUUAAUGAUGAUAGUGCAGCUCUCCAUCUUAUUAAUUCCUUACCCAUUCACUUGAAAUAUUGCCUAAAUAUUAUUAUUUUUGUAGUUGGUUUAGCAGCCUGACUUAGAUCUUCUACAUUGCCCAUAGAGAAUCUUCAAAAGUGUAGUCAUAUAUGUCACUUGAUAAAUUCCAGGACAUUAAUCUAUAAUGCUCCUAUGCGUUUCAGCUGUCACCAAUCCAUGGUGAAAUAAACAGGAGAAUAUAUGCUUGCAGAAGUUGUCAAGAGGCUUCAUUUAACCAUCAAAGACCAUGAGA